GUGCGUUACUUACCUCGACUCUUAGCUUGUCGGGGACGGUAACCGGAACCCGGUGUCUGCUCCUGUCGCCUUCGCCUCCUAACCUGUAGCCACCAUGCGUGAGUGCAUCUCGAUCCACGUUGGCCAGGCUGGUGUCCAGACUGGCAAUGCCUGCUGGGAGCUCUACUGCCUGGAACACGGCAUCCAGCCUGAUGGCCAGAUGCCAAGUGACAAGACCAUUGGGGUAGGAGAUGACUCCUUCAACACCUUCUUCAGUGAGACGGGUGCUGGCAAGCAUGUGCCCAGGGCAGUGUUUGUAGACCUGGAACCCACAGUCAUUGACGAAGUUCGCACUGGUACCUACCGCCAGCUCUUCCACCCUGAGCAGCUCAUCACAGGCAAGGAAGAUGCUGCCAAUAACUAUGCCCGUGGGCACUAUACCAUUGGCAAGGAGAUCAUUGACCUCGUCUUGGACCGAAUUCGUAAACUGGCUGACCAGUGCACAGGUCUUCAGGGCUUCUUGGUUUUCCACAGCUUUGGUGGGGGAACUGGUUCUGGGUUCACCUCUCUGCUGAUGGAGUGCCUCUCUGUCGAUUAUGGCAAGAAGUCCAAGCUGGAAUUCUCUAUUUACCCAGCCCCCCAGGUUUCCACAGCUGUAGUUGAGCCCUACAACUCCAUCCUCACCACCCACACCACCCUGGAGCACUCUGAUUGUGCCUUCAUGGUAGACAAUGAGGCCAUCUAUGACAUCUGUCGUAGAAACCUUGAUAUCCAGUUUGUGGAUUAGUGUCCCAUUGGCUUCAAGGUUGGCAUCAAUUACCAGCCUCCCACUGUGGUACCUGGUGGCGACCUGGCCAAGGUACAGAGAGCUGUGUGCAUGCUGAGCAACACCACAGCCAUUGCUGAGGCCUGGGCUCGCCUGGACCACAAGUUUGACCUGAUGUAUGCCAAGCGUGCCUUUGUUCACUGGUACGUGGGUGAGGGGAUGGAGGAGGGAGAGUUUUCUGAAGCCCGUGAGGACAUGGCUGCCCUUGAGAAGGAUUAUGAGGAGGUUGGUGUGGAUUCUGUUGAAGGAGAGGGUGAGGAAGAAGGAGAGGAAUACUAAUUAUCCAUUCCUUUCAGCCCCCGUGCAGCAUGUCAUAUUCCCAGAAUUUCAGCUUCAACAUUAGCUGGCAGAUCUUAAAGCUUUCUGGUUAGAUUGUUUUCACU